AUUGAACGCUGGCGGCAGGCCUAACACAUGCAAGUCGAACGAGUGGCGGACGGGUGAGUAAUGUCUGGGAAACUGCCUGAUGGAGGGGGAUAACUCCUGGAAACGGUAGCUAAUCCCGCAUACCAUCGGAUGUGCCCAGAUGGGAUUAGCUAGUAGGUGGGGUAAAGGCUCACAUAGGCGACGAUCCCUAGCUGGUCUGAGAGGAUGACCAGCCACACUGGAACUGAGACACGGUCCAGACUCCUACGGGAGGCAGCAGUGGGGAAUAUUGCACAAUGGGCGCAAGCCUGAUGCAGCCAUUCCGCGUGUGUGAAGAAGGCCUUCGGGUUGUAAAGCACUUUCAGCGAGGAGGCGUUACUCGCAGAAGAAGCACCGGCUAACUCCGUGCCAGCAGCCGCGGUAAUAC
rnacentral:rRNA from 1 species